CUUGAGCGAGCCGAGCAGCACGGGGCGCUGCGGGUCGCGGUCCUGGCCGUAGGUGGCGAGCAGGGACUGUGCCUC
rfam:Streptomyces sp. AcH 505 scaffold00001, whole genome shotgun sequence.